rnacentral:rRNA from 1 species
GGGCCCGCACAAGCGGUGGAGCAUGUGGUUUAAUUCGACGCAACGCGCAGAACCUUACCAGCCCUUGACAUGUCCAGGACCGGUCGCAGAGAUGUGACCCUCUCUUCGGAGCCUGGAACACAGGUGCUGCAUGGCUGUCGUCAGCUCGUGUCGUGAGAUGUUGGGUUAAGUCCCGCAACGAGCGCAACCCCCGUCCUUAGUUGCUACCAUUUAGUUGAGCACUCUAAGGAGACUGCCGGUGAUAAGCCGCGAGGAAGGUGGGGAUGACGUCAAGUCCUCAUGGCCCUUACGGGCUGGGCUACACACGUGCUACAAUGGCGGUGACAAUGGGAUGCUAAGGGGCGACCCUUCGCAAAUCUCAAAAAGCCGUCUCAGUUCGGAUUGGGCUCUGCAACUCGAGCCCAUGAAGUUGGAAUCGCUAGUAAUCGUGGAUCAGCACGCCACGGUGAAUACGUUCCCGGGCCUU